rnacentral:tRNA from 1 species
GGCGGGAUAGCUCAGUUGGUAGAGCAGGGGACUGAAAAUCCCCGUGUCCUCGGUUCGAUUCCGAGUCUCGCCACCA